rnacentral:rRNA from 1 species
CAGUCGCCACGGGAAUACGGAGGGUGCAAGCGUUAAUCGGAAUUACUGGGCGUAAAGCGCACGCAGGCGGUUUGUUAAGUCAGAUGUGAAAUCCCUGAGCUUAACUUAGGAAUUGCAUUCGAUACUGGGAAGCUAGAGUAUGGGAGAGGAUGGUAGAAUUCCAGGUGUAGCGGUGAAAUGCGUAGAGAUCUGGAGGAAUACCGAUGGCGAAGGCAGCCAUCUGGCCUAAUACUGACGCUGAGGUACGAAAGCAUGGGGAGCAAACAGGAUUAGAUACCCCCGUAGUCCCUGUCUCUUAUAC